CAGUCGCCGCGGGAAUACGUAGGUGGCAAGCGUUGUCCGGAAUUAUUGGGCGUAAGGGCUCGCAGGCGGUUUCUUAAGUCUGGUGUGAAAGCCCCCGGCUCAACCGGGGAGGGUCAUUGGAAACUGGGAAACUUGAGUGCAGAAGAGGAGAGUGGAAUUCCACGUGUAGCGGUGAAAUGCGUAGAGAUGUGGAGGAACACCAGUGGCGAAGGCGACUCUCUGGUCUGUAACUGACGCUGAGGAGCGAAAGCGUGGGGAGCGAACAGGAUUAGAUACCCGGGUAGUCCCUGUCUCUUAUACA
rnacentral:rRNA from 1 species